UUCGCAAUGCCCGAAAGGGUGACGAAGCGACGCCGCGUGGGUGAGGAAGGCCCUCGGGUUGUAAAGCCCUGUCAGGAGUUAAGAAAUGUAAGUGCGUUAAUACCGCAUUUAUUUGACGAAGGCUCCAAAGGAAGCCACGGCUAACUCUGUGCCAGCAGCCGCGGUAAUACAGAGGUGGCAAGCGUUGUUCGGAAUUAUUGGGCGUAAAGAGCACGUAGGUGGGUUUGUAAGUCAGAUGUGAAAGCCUUCUGUUCAACGGAAGAAUUGCAUCUGAAACUGCGAGUCUUGAGUGUAGGAGGGGAGAAUGGAACUUCUGGUGGAGCGGUGAAAUGCGUAGAUAUCAGAAGGAACGCCGGCGGCGAAAGCGAUUCUCUGGCCUAUUACUGACACUGAGUGUGCGAAAGUUAGGGGAGCAAACGGGAUUAGAUACCCCGGUAGUCCUAACCGUAAACGAUGGGCACUAAGUAGAGGGGUUUU
rnacentral:rRNA from 1 species